UUUUUUUUAAAGAUGUUAAUCUUAUUUUACAUGAGUAUAUAUACCUAUUUCAGGAGGUAAAACCGUUAAUCGAUUCCCUUGAAUGUGUAAUUCCCUGAGUCGCGUUAAUUCGCCGAUUUCUUUUGGUAAUUCGACUAAAUCAUUUUCCCUCAAUACAAGCUGCAAUAGAAACACACAAUUAGAUGCUAGGAAUAAAUAAGAGGAACAAAACCAUAUUUUAAUACAAGAACAUGCUAUUACUUACGAUUUGUAAAUUUUUUAAUUGCCCAAUUUCAGGAGGUAGAUAUUCAAAAUCAUUAUCAGCUAAAUAUAGUGCUCUUAAGUUUCCUGGUAAAUUCUUCUCGCUCAGAUUAUUAUAAGUUAAAUCUAAGACUUCUAAUACUGGAAAAGCACCAAAUCCACGUGGAAGCACAUCUAAUCUGUUCAUCCUGUAAAUGUAUUUAAAUAAAAUGUUGUAAAUUAACGAUAAUUCAAGUAAAGAACUUACCCUACAUUAAGAAUCCGUAGCUUUGGCAUUUGUGACAAUGAAAUUGGAAGCUCGGUAAUAUGAUUAUUAAACAGAUUCAAUAUCUCCAAAUUGACUAGAUUUGCAAGACCUGGUGGUACAGCUGUAUAAAGGAAACGAUAUAAAUAAAAGAUAUAAUUUAUCACAAAUAAGUGUAAAAAUAUUUGUAAAUCUACCUUGAAUUUUAUUGUGACUCAAAGUCAACCUUGUAAUGUUAAUCAUAUUAACUGAAACAGAAAAAAUAUCUUGGUCUACCAUUGUAAACAUUUAAAGCUUAAAUAUAUGUGUUCCAAAUUGCCAAAUGAACUAAUAUUAUUAAAUUAUUAUUAAAUUGAAGAAUAUGAUCAACAAUAUCAACAACCAUUGAGUGGAUAUUCAUAUUAAUUCAGAAAUUAAAAAGAAACAUCACUCCUGUUAACAAAACAAUCAUCAUUUCAAACAUUUGGAGCUUAAAAAUGUGUUU
rnacentral:misc_RNA from 1 species